UACAGAGGGUGCGAGCGUUGUCCGGAAUCACUGGGCGUAAAGGGCGCGUAGGUGGCGGCCCAAGUCCGUGGUGAAAGCUCGAUGCUUAACAUCGAGUCGGCCACGGAGACUGGGUGGCUCGAGCACUGUAGGGGCAGAUGGAAUUCCGGGUGUAGCGGUGAAAUGCGUAGAUAUCUGGAGGAACACCGGUGGCGAAGGCGGCAUCCUGGACCAACACUGACGCUGAGGAGCGAAAGCCAGGGGAGCAAUCGGG
rnacentral:rRNA from 1 species